rnacentral:rRNA from 1 species
UACGUAGGAUGCAAGCGUUGUCCGGAUUUACUGGGCGUAAAGCGCGCGCAGGCGGCAGGUUAAGUAAGGUGUGAAAUCUCCCUGCUCAACGGGGAGGGUGCACUUUAGACUGACCAGCUAGAGGGCGGUAGAGGGUGGUGGAAUUGCUGGUGUAGCGGUGAAAUGCGUAGAGAUCAGCAGGAACACCCGUGGCGAAGGCGGCUUGCUGGGCCGUUACUGACGCUGAGGCGCGAAGGCUAGGGGAGCGAACGGG